AGAGUUUGAUCAUGGCUCAGAAUGAACGCUGGCGGCAGGCCUAACACAUGCAAGUCGAACGAGGUAGCAAUACCUAGUGGCGGACGGGUGAGUAACACGUGGGAACGUACCCUUUGCUACGGAAUAGCCCUGGGAAACUGGGAGUAAUACCGUAUGAGCCCGAGAGGGGAAAGAUUUAUCGGCAAAGGAUCGGCCCGCGUUGGAUUAGGUAGUUGGUGGGGUAAUGGCCUACCAAGCCGACGAUCCAUAGCUGGUUUGAGAGGAUGAUCAGCACACUGGGACUGAGACACGGCCCAGACUCCUACGGGAGGCAGCAGUGGGGAAUCUUAGACAAUGGGGGAAACCCUGAUCUAGCCAUGCCGCGUGAUCGAUGAAGGCCUUAGGGUUGUAAAGAUCUUUCAGGUGGGAAGAUAAUGACUGUACCACCAGAAGAAGCCCCGGCUAACUCCGUG
rnacentral:rRNA from 1 species